UCCUGGCUUAGGACGAACGCUGGCGGCGUGCCUAAUACAUGCAAGUCGAACGGUCUUUCUAUGGAAGCUUGCUUCCACUGAGAAGAUAGUGGCGAACGGGUGAGUAACACGUGGGUAACCUGCCCAUAAGAGGGGGGAUAACAUCCGGAAACGGGUGCUAAUACCGCAUAGUUUUCUUGAUCGCAUGAUCGGGAAAGGAAAGACGGCCUUUGUGCUGUCGCUUAUGGAUGGACCCGCGGCGUAUUAGUUAGUUGGUGAGGUAACGGCUCACCAAGACGAUGAUACGUAGCCGACCUGAGAGGGUGAUCGGCCACAUUGGGACUGAGACACGGCCCAAACUCCUACGGGAGGCAGCAGUAGGGAAUCUUCCGCAAUGGACGAAAGUCUGACGGAGCAACGCCGCGUGAGUGAAGAAAGGUUUUCGGAUCGUAAAACUCUGUUGUCAGAGAAGAACAAGUUGGAGAGUAACUGCUCCAGCCUUGACGGUAUCUGACCAGAAAGCCACGGCUAACUACGUGCCAGCCGCUGC
rnacentral:rRNA from 1 species